GAACCUUACCAGGGAUUGACAUGCCGCGAAUCCUCUUGAAAGAGAGGGGUGCAUUCGGGAACGCGGACACAGGUGGUGCAUGGCUGUCGUCAGCUCAUGGCGUAAGGUGUUGGGUUAAGUCCCGCAACGAGCGCAACCCUCGUGUUUAGUUGCCACCGUUGAGUUUGGAACCCUGAGCAGAUAUUUCCAUUAAUCGUGGAGAUAAAAAAUCAUAGGGUCUAAGACUUCAAAUCUAAAUCCAUCUCUAAUUACUGC
rnacentral:ncRNA from 1 species